GGAGGGGGUUAGCGUUGUUCGGAAUUACUGGGCGUAAAGCGCACGUAGUGCGAUUAGUAAGUUAGAGGUGAAAUCCCAGGNCUCAACCCUGGAACUGCCUUUAAUACUGCUAGUCUUGAGUUCGAGAGAGGUAAGUGGAAUUCCGAGUGUAGAGGUGAAAUUCGUAGAUAUUCGGAGGAACACCAGUGGCGAAGUCCGCUUACUGGCUCGAUACUGACGCUGAGGUGCGAAAG
rnacentral:rRNA from 1 species